rnacentral:rRNA from 1 species
AGCGAACGCUGGCGGCAGGCUUAACACAUGCAAGUCGAACGCCCCGCAAGGGGAGUGGCAGACGGGUGAGUAACACGUGGGAACGUACCCUUUGGUUCGGAAUAACUGUGGGAAACUCAAGCUAAUACCGGAUAAGCCCUUAUGGGGAAAGGUUUACUGCCGAAGGAUCGGCCCGCGUCUGAUUAGCCAGUUGGUGAGGUAACGGCUCACCAAGGCGACGAUCAGUAGCUGGUCUGAGAGGAUGAUCAGCCACACUGGGACUGAGACACGGCCCAGACUCCUACGGGAGGCAGCAGUGGGGAAUAUUGGACAAUGGCGGCAACCCUGACCCAGCCAUGCCGCGUGAGUGAUGAAGGCCUUAGGGUUGUAAAGCUCUUUUACCCAGGACGAUAAUGACUGUACCGGGAGAAUAAGCCCCGGCUAACUUCGUGCCAGCCGCCGCCGUAA